CGUACUGGCAUUGUUGGUUUCUCCCUUCUGACGAACCAUAAUGUCAUUUAUUUGGUGUUGUGGGGAAUCAGGACUGUUACUUUGAAAAAAUUAGAGUGUUUAAAGCAGGCUCACGCUUGAAUACAUUAGCAUGGAAUAAUGAAAUAGGACGUUUGAUUCUAUUUUGUUGGUUUCUAGGAUCGACGUAAUGAUUAAUAGGGAUAGUUGGGGGCAUUAGUAUUCAAUUGUCAGAGGUGAAAUUCUUGGAUUUAUUGAAGACUAACUACUGCGAAAGCAUUUGCCAAGGAUGUUUUCAUUAAUCAAGAACGAAAGUUAGGGGAUCGAAGACGAUCAGAUACCGUCGUAGUCUUAACCAUAAACUAUGCCGACUAGGGAUCGGAUGAUGUUAAUUUUUUAAUGACUCAUUCGGCGCCUUA
rnacentral:rRNA from 1 species